UACAGAGGCGGCAAGCGUUGUUCGGAAUUAUUGGGCGUAAAGAGCACGUAGGCGGCCUUGUAAGUCAGUUGUGAAAGCCUUCCGCUCAACGGAAGAACAGCAUCCGAUACUGCAAGGCUAGAGUGCGGAAGGGGAGAGUGGAACUUCUGGUGGAGCGGUGAAAUGCGUAGAUAUCAGAAGGAACACCGGCGGCGAAGGCGACUCUCUGGUCCGUAACUGACGCUGAGUGUGCGAAAGCUAGGGGAGCAAACGGG
rnacentral:rRNA from 1 species